GUCUAAUGCCAUACCACCCUGAUCCUGGAAGCUAAGCAGGGUCGGGCCUGGCCAGGACUUGGAUGGGAAACUGGCUAGGAAUACUGGAAGCAGUAUGCU
rnacentral:rRNA from 1 species